rnacentral:tRNA from 1 species
AUCAGAAUGGCCGAGUGGUCUAAAGGCUCCAGACUGCAAUUCUGGUCCACGUAUGUGGGCGUGGGUUCGAUUCACACUUCUGACA